rnacentral:tRNA from 1 species
AGCAGGGAAGAGGAACGGUUGCCUCGUCAGGCUCAUAAUCUGAAGAUUGUAGGUUCAAAUCCUACCCUUGCUC